GUUAGAGACAGGUAGCCUAGUGGUUAGAGACAGGUAGUCUAGUGGUUAGAGACAGGUAGCCUAGUGGUUAGAGACAGGUAGCCUAGUGGUUAGAGACAGGUAGCCUAGUGGUUAGAGGCAGGUAGCCUAGUGGUUAGAGGCAGGUAGCCUAGUGGUUAGAGACAGGUAGCCUAGUGGUUAGAGGCAGGUAGCCUAGUGGUUAGAGGCAGGUAGCCUAGUGGUUAGAGACAGGUAGCCUAGUGGUUAGAGACAGGUAGCCUAGUGGUUAGAGACAGGUAGCCUAGUGGUUAGAGGCAGGUAGCCUAGUGGUUAGAGACAGGUAGCCUAGUGGUUAGAGGCAGGUAGCCUAGUGGUUAGAGGCAGGUAGCCUAGUGGUUAGAGGCAGGUAGCCUAGUGGUUAGAGGCAGGUAGCCUAGUGGUUAGAGACAGGUAGCCUAGUGGUUAGAGACAGGUAGCCUAGUGGUUAGAGGCAGGUAGCCUAGUGGUUAGAGACAGGUAGCCUAGUGGUUAGAGACAGGUAGCCUAGUGGUUAGAGACAGGUAGCCUAGUGGUUAGAGACAGGUAGCCUAGUGGUUAGAGACAGGUAGCCUAGUGGUUAGAGACAGGUAGUCUAGUGGUUAGAGACAGGUAGUCUAGUG